rnacentral:lncRNA from 1 species
CCAAGAGCAAGGGGGGAAGUUCUUGGAGGGAAGGAUGCUGGGGGUCUAUUUAGAAACAACCUCUCUACCCAAAAGGUAGGGGUAAGGUCCGUGUACAUACUACCCUCCUCAGACCCCACUAAGUGGGAUUAUGUUGGGUUGUUGUUGUUGUAGGUUCAAGUGUAGGGGAUAUUUCAAGAAGCUUGAAAACAAGAUUAUAAGGGUUACAAUGGUUACCAACAUUCCGAGUCAAGAAGAGAAGACCAAGUACCAUAAUAUAUAAACUACCAUGAGUUCUCAA